GUCGCCCAUGGCGCCGGCGUAGAGCAGACGGGCCAGGAACCCCUCAAGCAGACCAGUCCAUGCGUUCUCCAGCGGCUCAGCCGCUUGGGCGAUG
rnacentral:tRNA from 1 species